rnacentral:rRNA from 1 species
GACGAACGCUGGCGGCGUGCUUAACACAUGCAAGUCGAACGGAAAGGCCCUGCUUUUGUGGGGUGCUCGAGUGGCGAACGGGUGAGUAACACGUGAGUAACCUGCCCUUGACUUUGGGAUAACUUCAGGAAACUGGGGAUAAUACCGGAUAGGAGCCUAUGCUGCAUGGUGGGGGUGGGAAAGUUUCGGCGGUUGGGGAUGGACUCGCGGCUUAUCAGCUUGUUGGUGGGGUAGUGGCUUACCAGGGCUUUGACGGGUAGCCGGCCUGAGAGGGUGACCGGCCACAUUGGGACUGAGAUACGGCCCAGACUCCUACGGGAGGCAGCAGUGGGGAAUAUUGCACAAUGGGCGGAAGCCUGAUGCAGCAACGCCGCGUGCGGGAUGACGGCCUUCGGGUUGUAAACCGCUUUCGCCUGUGACGAAGCGUGAGUGACGGUAAUGGGUAAAGAAGCACCGGCUAACUACGUG